AAACCAGACUCCUACGGGAGGCAGCAGUGGGGAAUAUUGCACAAUGGGGGAAACCCUGAUGCAGCGACGCCGCGUGGGUGAAGGAGCACCUCGGUGCGUAAAGCCCUAUCGGCAGGGAAGAAAAGCGAACAGGUUCGCCUGGACGGUACCUGACUAAGAAGCCCCGGCUAACUACGUGCCAGCAGCCGCGGUAAUACGUAGGGGGCAAGCGUUAUCCGGAUUCACUGGGUGUAAAGGGAGCGUAGACGGCGACGCAAGUCUGGAGUGAAAGCCCGGGGCCCAACCCCGGGACUGCUCUUGGAACUGCGUGGCUGGAGUGCAGGAGGGGCAGGCGGAAUUCCUGGUGUAGCGGUGAAAUGCGUAGAUAUCAGGAGGAACACCGGUGGCGAAGGCGGCCUGCUGGACUGCAACUGACGUUGAGGCCCGAAAGCGUGGGGAGCAAACAGGAUUAGAUACCCGUGUA
rnacentral:rRNA from 1 species